rnacentral:rRNA from 1 species
AUUGAACGCUGGCGGCAGGCCUAACACAUGCAAGUCGAGCGGAUGAAGGGAGCUUGCUCCUGGAUUCAGCGGCGGACGGGUGAGUAAUGCCUAGGAAUCUGCCUGGUAGUGGGGGAUAACUUCCGGAAACGGGCGCUAAUACCGCAUACGUCCUGAGGGAGAAAGUGGGGGAUCUUCGGACCUCACGCUAUCAGAUGAGCCUAGGUCGGAUUAGCUAGUAGGUGGGGUAAAGGCCUACCAAGUCGACGAUCCGUAACUGGUCUGAGAGGAUGAUCAGUCACACUGGAACUGAGACACGGUCCAGACUCCUACGGGAGGCAGCAGUGGGGAAUAUUGGACAAUGGGCGAAAGCCUGAUCCAGCCAUGCCGCGUGUGUGAAGAAGGUCUUCGGAUUGUAAAGCACUUUAAGUUGGGAGGAAGGGCAGUAAGUUAAUACCUUGCUGUUUUGACGUUACCAACAGAAUAAGCACCGGCUAACUUCGUG